rnacentral:misc_RNA from 1 species
UUUCCGUAGGUGAACCUGCGGAAGGAUCAUUACAGAGUUCAUGCCCUCACGGGUAGAUCUCCCACCCUUGAAUAUUUAUACCUUAGUUGCUUUGGCAGGCCGUGGAAACACCAUGGGCUCCGGCUUAUGCGUGCCUGCCAGAGGAAACAAACUCUGUUUUCAGUGAUGUCUGAGUACUAUAUAAUAGUUAAAACUUUCAACAACGGAUCUCUUGGUUCUG